GUCUGUUUGGAUACAUCUAAUAAAAUUGGAAUGAUACAAAGAAGAUUAGCAUGACCCCUGCUCAAGGAUGACACACACAAAUUGAGAAAUGUUUCUCGAUAAA
rnacentral:snRNA from 1 species